AUGAAUGGGUGCCGAAGAUGUGCUCUGUGUGCGUGUGUGUGUGUGUGUCUGUGUGCGUGUGUCUGUGUGUAUGAAAUAUUCUUCAACCAUAGAAAGAAUGAAAGCCUGUCAUUUACAACAUUCAUGGGACUGGAGGACAUUAUGUUAAGUAAAAUAAGCCAGACAUCAAACGACAAAUAUCACAUAUUCUCACUCAUACGUGAUCGGCAAAAUAUCUGAGAAUUACUGAAUCCUAACAAUUGCACCUGGUAGUCAACUUGGACACUCAUGUGGGCCUCCCCUCGUCCUGGGAAGGUAUCUGAAGUGUUAGAGUCAAGGUGCCCUCCCAACAUUGCUACCCAGGAACCAGGUGAGUCUUUGAGCUCAUGGAUGAAGUCCUGUACCUCUUUCAGUAAAAUACUCACCUAGGACUUUAGAUAUGUCUACAGGUCAAUUUGGGAAGGGCAGAGGCUUUUCCCUUAUUUUACAUGGGUAAAUUAAGUAAUUGGAGAAAUUAGCAAUCGUCUUUUGAAGAUGAAUGGAUCCAUAAUUUCCCUUUUGUGUAAAUGUGGCUGUGGGCUGUAAAUGUAGCUUUUUCUGGUCUUAGGAGGGUCAUCAGUGGCCAUUUGUCUCUCCCCUGGGCCAUGCUACAACUUCAGUGAAAGAAAAGAACCUUGAGAUGGUUACUUUUACAUGUCAACUUGGAAGGCCAUAGGAUAUGCAGAUGGAACAUUGUUUCUGGGUGUCCCUGUGAGGGUAUUUCCGGAUGAAAUCACCAUUUGAAUCCAUGGACUCAGUAAAGUAGAUUGCCCUCCUCCAGUGUUGGUGGGCAUCAUCUAAUCCAUUAAGGGCCUGAACUGAACAAAAGGCAGAGGAAGGAGGAAUUCGCCCCUUGUUCAUCUCCUCUCUUUUUCUCUAGCCCUCAAGCUGGAAUUACACCAUUGCUUUCCCUGGUUCUCAGUCCUUUGAACUGGAACUGAAUUAUACCAUUCGCUUUCCUAGGUCUCCAGCUUACAGAUGGCAGAUCAUGGGACUCCUUAGCCUCUAUAGUUGCAUGAGUCAAUUCCUCAUAAUAAACCUCUCUAUAUAUGGAUAUAGAAAAAAAUAGAUAUAAACACUGAUACCUCCUACUGCCUCUGUUUCUUUGGAGAACCCUGACUAAUACAGGCCUCAAAAAGCCUGCUCUCAUUUAUGCUGUUGGCUGAUGUGGCUAAAUUUGGUGAAAAAAGCUCAGAAAUAUCUGUUGUGUACUCAUCAUGGGGAGAGGCACCAUCACCUCAUAGCUAGUUUGUAUAGUCUCUUCAAAUAUGAGUUCUAGAUGUCCUCAUAUUCAGGCUAAAAAAAUUUACUGAGAAUUAUAGAUGCAACUUCUGAGCUUGAAUAUGUCUCCGUGUCUCUUUGGACCUAUGGAUUACCCAUCCCAGGUACAAUGGGUCAUCUGCCAUCAAGAUCCUGAUGGCAUUCAGGCUCUCAAGAUGACCUUCCCCUGACAUUCCAGCAAGCAUACAGAAUUCUGCAUUGGGAGCACACAGUGAACAUUUAGAAUAUUUUAUUUGUUCAAAAAUCUAGUGUAAGCUACACUGGAUUAGCUGACAGAUUUUUAGAACUUUACUGUUCAAGUUGCCUCAGUAUAAUAACCUUUUGGGGCCAAAUCAUUUGAUUCUGGAAUAUGCACAAAGAAUAGAUUUGUGUUUUCUAUAAAUGAAGGUAGACUUUGACAUGCAAGUCAAAGAUUCCUGCCUACUUUGGUUUUUGUGACUGUGGCUCCAUAGAAGCAAAUGGCCAGGGAAGCACAAACAAUCAAGCUCAGACCUAUGUGAGACCAAGACACAUACUGAUCCAAGUUACCAGGAAAAAAAUUCAGAAAGCAAUUAACAGUAGGAGUAUUAUGAUCAAUUGCUUUACAAGGUUAAGAUCUGGUUUGCAGGUUUCUGCAGGCAGCAGCUACAUAGACCAGGACCACUAAGAGUUAUUGGCAUUUUCAAUUCCCUUUGUGAUUCUCACCACCCCUUGCCAAGCACACUACAGGUUUAUACUUUUUGUUAUAAGAGAGAAUUAUGAGCCAGAUGGUUCAAUAUAAAAUCUUUCCCACUUAAAAACUAAAUAUGGUUAGCCCUCCAUAUCUGUGCAUUACUUUCAUGGGUUCGGAAUAUAUGAGUUCAACCAAUCAUGGAUUGGAAAUAUUAGAAAAAAAGAAAAAAAUUACAUCUUUACCAAACGUGUAUAGUUUUGUUAUUAUUCCCUUAAAUAUAGUAUAACAAUGAUUUACAUAGCAUUUACAUUAUAUUACAUAUUAUAAGUAACCUAGAGAUGAUUUAAAGUAUAUGGAAGGAUAUGCAUGGGUUGUAUGCAAAUACUGCACCAUUUUACAUACAGAACUUGAGCAUCCAUCGAUUUUGAUUCCCUGGGGCGUCCUGCAACCAAUCCUCAAAAGAUAACAAGGGAAGACAAUAGUUCAAUCUGUGCUUCCUACAACUAGGUCAUCGAUUCAUUAUUUAAAAAUUUACAGUGUAUAUUACCUCAAGAAGAAAGAAUGGUGUUAUAAAGGGGAUUCAGAUAUUUAAACUCUCUUAGAUCCACCCUCUGACCCUACAGUCCUGAAUGACUUAGAUCCUCCAGUGGACAUUCAGCAAAUUUACCGUGUCAGAGAAUAGGCUUGUAUCUAUUGACUGCAUUUUAGAAGCUUCUUACGAGCCAAGUGUUCUCACAAUCUUUAAUAAAACAUUCCAACAAUAGCUUUAUUUAUUUCUCUCCUCCCCACAUGCUCAGACUUCUUGAAAGAAUGAUUCCUCCAUUCACAACUUAGUUUUUCACCUUCUGUGUUAGUUAGUACAGAAGUUAAGUAAGCUGCUGUGACAAAGAGGUCCAAAAAUACAGAGGCUUGCAUCAUUUAGAACUUCUUUCUUAUCAUGCAGCAUUCCAGAAGUGAGUGGAGCAGCCUUGUCAGGCAGCUAUGGUCCAUUCAGGAACACAGGUUUCUUUUACUCUGGGUCUCCACCAUGACCUCCAGUAUUGACCUUAUCUGAGCUGGGGAUGACUGCAAGAAUUUGACUUGAACAACUGGAAACAUGGAGUAGCCAUUUGCUGAAAUGGAAAGAGAGUAAUGAAGAACUUGCUUUUAGUCUUGUAAAUUUGAGAUACCCAUGGUAGGUCUAAGGGGAACUAUAAGUCAGUAGUUGGAUAAAUAGUUAGGAGUUGAAAGGAGAGCUCCAGGCUCUAGAAAUGACUUAAGUAGUCAUUAGUUACAGGCCUUGAUGAGAUCAAUGAUGGAAUGAAUGUGUAUUAAGAAAGAGAAAAGAACCAAGGACUAAGCCUGGGUCACUCAAAAAUGUGGAGGUUGGGAACAUGAAGAGGAAUCAGCCAGAGAAUGAAGGAAUGGUAAUAAGGUAGAGGAAAAUCAAGAGAGGUUGAUAUUCAUAGGGCCAAGAGAAAAGCAUGUGUCAAGGAGAAGGGAGAACUCAACUCAAAUGCUGCUAUAAGCCAAGAAAGGUGAGGACUGAGAAGCAAUAAUUGGAUUUAAUAUCAAGUGGCAGACAAUAUAUCUUCAGAGCAGAGGUGCAACUAAUGGUAAGAAGAACUCCUGUAUUAUUGAUUCACUGACAGGUAUGUGCAGAGAUACUGUGGGUUCAGCUCCAGACUACCACAAUAAAGCAAAUAUCUCAAUAGAGUGACUCACACAAAUGUGUUGGUUCCCACUGCAUAUGAAAGUUCUGUUUAGACUAUACUAUAGUCCAUUAAGUGUGCCAUAGCCUUAUGUAUAAAAAGCAAUGUACAUACCUUUACUUAAAAAUAAUUUAUUGCUAAAAAUAUCAUCUAAGCCUUCAGUGAGUCAUAAUCUUUUUGCCAGUGGAGGGUCUUGCCUCAGUGUUGGUGGCUGCUGACUGAUCAAAGUGAUGGUUGCUGAAGGUUGGGGUGGCUGUGACAGUUUCCUAAAAUGGACAACAAUGAAGUUUGUCACAUUGAUUGACUCUUCCUUUUAUAAGCAAUUUCUCUGUAGCAUGUGAUCUAUGUGAUAAUAGCAUUUUACCCAUAGGAGAAAUUCUUUCAAAAUUGGAGUCAAUUCUUUCAAAUCCUGCCACUGACUUAUCAACUAAGUUUAGGUAAUAUUUUAAAUCCUUUGUUGUCAUUUCAACAAUGCUCUCAGCAUCUUCACUAGGAGUAGACUCCAUUUUAAGAAACCACUCUGUUUAUCCAUAAGAAGAAACUUCUCAUUCAUUAAAAUUUUAUCAUGAGACUGCAGCAAUUCAGUCACAUCUUCAGGCACUACUUCUAACUCUAGUUCUCUUUCUAUUUUCACCACAUCAACAGUUACUUUUUUCAUUGA
rnacentral:lncRNA from 1 species